AAUUAUAAUGCAAGAUUAAUAUUUCGAUUGGAAGUCAUUUAGUAAAUUCUGAGAAUAAUUUUCAAUGUUGAAGAAUAUUUUAGGCUCAAAUGUUCUACAUUGGAUAAAGUGCAGUAGUUUGUGAUCCUGUGAUAAAUCAAUUAAACAAAUAUUAGUUGAUGUUUUGAAAAAAAAAAGAAAAAAAAAAGAAAAGAGAGAGAAUGAUGAUGACAUGGGGUCAUUAGGAAAUGCGAGUGGAAUCAGCAAUAGAAUUGAUACGGGAACAUGCCCAAUAGCACAUGAUGUUUCAGGAGUUUGUAUUUAGCAAUCCCUGCUUCUAAGAUUUGGAAUAAAGUGUUUCAUCUCUAAUAGAUGAGCAAUUACUAAAUGCCUUCGUUUAUCAUUGAGAAGCAAGUUUAAAUUGUUUCAUGAGGAAGGUGAAAGUAAUGGAUGAUAAUUUUACAUAUCAUCGUCUAGUGGAAGGAGCACAAAAGAAGAAGAUUUUUUAAAUAAAGAUCUUACGACAAAAGUAUGCAUCUCUUUCUUUUAACGGAUAUGUGAGAUCGAGAAUCACCUUCUAGCAAUGCUAAAAUAGGGCAGAUUAUUGUUCAUGCAAUUUAAGGAUACCUAAUAUAAGAUUGGGAUAUU
rnacentral:lncRNA from 1 species